UCUAUGUUGUCCCUCUAUGUGCCCCUCUAUGUUGCCCCUCUAUGUUGCCCCUCUAUGUUGUCCCUCUAUGUUGCCCCUCUAUGUUGUCCCUCUAUGUUGUCCCUCUAUGUUGCCCCUCUAUGUUGCACCUCUAUGUUGCACCUCUAUGUUGUCCCUCUGUGUUGUCCCUCUAUGUUGCCCCUCUAUGUUGUCCCUCUAUGUGUCCCUCUAUGUUGUCCCUCUAUGUUGUCCCUCUAUGUUGCCCCUCUAUGUUGCCCCUCUAUGUUGCCCCUCUAUGUUGUCCCUCUAUGUUGCCCCUCUAUGUUGCCCCUCUAUGUUGUCCCUCUAUGUGUCCCUCUAUGUUGCCCCUCUAUGUUGUCCCUCUAUGUUGCCCCUCUAUGUUGCCCCUCUAUGUUGUCCCUCUAUGUUGUCCCUCUAUGUUGCCCCUCUAUGUUGCCCCUCUAUGUUGUCCCUCUAUGUGUCCCUCUAUGUUGCCCCUCUAUGUUGUCCCUCUAUGUUGCCCCUCUAUGUUGUCCCUCUAUGUUGCCCCUCUAUGUUGUCCCUCUAUGUGUCCCUCUAUGUUAACCCCUCCUACCCUCAGUCUAUAGAACCCCUCCUACCCUCAGUCUAUAGAACCCCUCCUACCCUCAGUCUAUAGAACCCCUCCUACCCUCAGUCUACAGAACCCCUCCUACCCUCAGUCUAUAGAACCCCUCCUACCCUCAGUCUACAGAACCCCUCCUACCCUCAGUAUAUAGAAUCCCUCCUACCCUCAGUCUACAGAACCCCUCCUACCCUCAGUCUACAGAACCCCUCCUACCCUCAGUCUACAGAACCCCUCCUACCCUCAGUCUAUAGAACCCCUCCUACCCUCAGUCUACAGAACCCCUCCUACCCUCAGUCUAUAGAACUCCUCCUACCCUCAGUCUACAGAACCCCUCCUACCCUCAGUAUAUAGAAUCCCUCCUACCCUCAGUCUACAGAACCCCCUCCUACCCUCAGUCUACAGAACCCCUCCUACCCUCAGUCUACAGAACCCCUCCUACCCUCAGUCUACAGAACUCCUCCUACCCUCAGUCUACAGAACUCCUCCUACCCUCAGUCUACAGAACCCCUCCUACCCUCAGUCUACAGAACUCCUCCUACCCUCAGUCUACAGAACUCCUCCUACCCUCAGUCUAUAGAACCCCUCCUACCCUCAGUCGACAGAACCCCUCCUACCCUCAGUCUACAGAACUCCUCCUACCCUCAGUCUACAGAAGUCCUCCUACCCUCAGUCUAUAGAACCCCUCCUACCCUCAGUCUACAGAACCCCUCCUACCCUCAGUCUACAGAACUCCUCCUACCCUCAGUCUACAGAACCCCUCCUACCCUCAGUCUAUAGAACCCUCCUACCCUCAGUCUACAGAACCCCUCCUACCCUCAGUCUAUAGAACCCCUCCUACCCUCAGUCUACAGAACUCCUCCUACCCUCAGUCUACAGAACCCCUCCUACCCUCAGUCUAUAGAACCCCUCCUACCCUCAGUCUACAGAACCCCUCCUACCCUCAGUCUACAGAACCCCUCCUACCCUCAGUCUACAGAACCCCUCCUACCCUCAGUAUAUAGAAUCCCUCCUACCCUCAGUCUACAGAACCCCUCCUACCCUCAGUCUACAGAACCCCUCCUACCCUCAGUCUACAGAACCCCUCCUACCCUCAGUCUAUAGAACCCCUCCUACCCUCAGUCUACAGAACCCCUCCUACCCUCAGUCUAUAGAACCCCUCCUACCCUCAGUCUACAGAACCCCUCCUACCCUCAGUCUACAGAACCCCUCCUACCCUCAGUCUACAGAACCCCUCCUACCCUCAGUCUACAGAACCCCUCCUACCCUCAGUCUACAGAACCCCUCCUACCCUCAGUCUACAGAACUCCUCCUACCCUCAGUCUACAGAACUCCUCCUACCCUCAGUCUACAGAACCCCUCCUACCCUCAGUCUACAGAACUCCUCCUACCCUCAGUCUACAGAACUCCUCCUACCCUCAGUCUAUAGAACCCCUCCUACCCUCAGUCGACAGAACCCCUCCUACCCUCAGUCUACAGAACUCCUCCUACCCUCAGUCUACAGAACUCCUCCUACCCUCAGUCUAUAGAACCCCUCCUACCCUCAGUCUACAGAACCCCUCCUACCCUCAGUCUACAGAACUCCUCCUACCCUCAGUCUACAGAACCCCUCCUACCCUCAGUCUACAGAACUCCUACCCUCAGUCUAUAGAACCCCUCCUACCCUCAGUCUAUAGAACCCUCCUACCCCCAGUAUAUAGAACCCCUCCUACCCUCAGUCUACAGGCUUCACAGUCUACCCUCAGUCUACAGAACGCUCCCACCCUCAGCCUACCCUCAGCCUACACAGCAUACAAUCAGUCUUCCCCCACCUAACCUCAGCGUACAGUCCACCCUCAGCUUACACAGCAUACAAUGUCUUCCCUCAGCCUCCGCAUACCCUCAGCCUUCACAGCCUACCCUCAGCAUACCCUCAGCCUGCACAGUCUACCCUCAGCCUUCACAGCCUAUCCUCCGCAUACCCUCAGCCUUCUCAGCCUACCCUCAGCCUUCGCGGGCUACCCUCAGCAAACCCCCAGCCUUCACAGCCUACCCUUAGCCUUCACAGCCUACCCUCAGCCUUCACAGCCUACCCUCAGCCUUCACAGCCUACCCUCAGCCUUCGCGGGCUACCCUCAGCAAACCCCCAGCCUUCACAGCCUACCCUCAGCCUUCACAGCCUACCCUCAGCCUUCACAGCCUACCCUCAGCCUUCACAGCCUACCCUCAGCCUUCACAGCCUACCCUCAGCCUUCACAGUCUACCCUCAGCCUUCACAGCCUACCCUCAGCCUUCACAGUCUACCCUCAGCCUUCACAGCCUACCCUCAGCCUUCACAGUCUACCCUCAGCCAUCACAGUCUACCCUCAGCCAUCACAGUCUACCCUCAGCCUUCACAGUCUACCCUCAGCCUUCACAGCCUACCCUCAGCCUUCACAGUCUACCCUCAGCCUUCACAGCCUACCCUCAGCCUUCACAGUCUACCCUCAGCCUUCACAGCCUACCCUCAGCCUUCACAGUCUACCCUCAGCCUUCACAGCCUACCCUCAGCCUUCACAGUCUACCCUCAGCCUUCACAGCCUACCCUCAGCCUUCACAGUCAACCCUCAGCCUUCACGGUCUACCCUCAGCCU